CUGCUCUAGCUUGUUUCCAUCUAAUAAACCUGGAACUGCAGACUAAAUAUUGUUGGCUCUGUGUCAAAUUGCUUGUUUUGUUCCUAGAUUCUUCAGUGCUGAUGGCCUGCUGCAUCCAGCAGAGUCGGAGUGAACCUACUGUAAGACAACAUCUCCAAGAUGCUCUUGACAACAAGACUAGUACAGGUUAUUAGAAACUGCACAGCACAGGACUUGCAGGACUUGUGAGGACUUCAGAUGAUACCAGUACUCAAAAGACCUUAGAUGAUGGCAACUAUAGAUGGACAUACAAACUACCGCCACUGCAAAAAAGAUUCUAAUUUGAAAGAAGUUUAUAAUGCAUGUUCGCUACUCCCAAUUCAGAAGACUGAAUCAGCCUGUGUAUCUGAAUGUUUCUCAUACUCACUCCUCUCUGCCGCGUCUGAAUUUGGGAUUUUCCUUAGCUGUCAGUUAUAAACGUCAAAAUUAAAAGAAAUAAACAUUUGAAAUAUAUCAGUCUGUGUGUAAUGAAUAAAUAUAAUAUACAUGUUUCACUUUUUGAAUGGAAUUAGUGAAAUAAAUCAACUUUUUGAUGAUAUUCUAAUUAUAUGACCAGCACCUGUAUAUCAUUGCUCUUUUGUUGAUUUUGAUUGCUUCCAUUGUCCUCAUUUGUAAGUUGCUUUGGAUAAAAGUGUCUGCUAAAUGUAAAUGUAAUGUUAAUGUGUAUUUAACUAU